rnacentral:rRNA from 1 species
ACUCAAAGGAAUAGACGGGGGCCCGCACAAGCGGCGGAGCAUGCGGAUUAAUUCGAUGCAACGCGAAGAACCUUACCUGGGUUUGACAUGCACUGGAUCGCGUCAGAGAUGGCGUUUCUUUUGCUGGUGUGCAGGUGGUGCAUGGCUGUCGUCAGCUCGUGUCGUGAGAUGUUGGGUUAAGUCCCGCAACGAGCGCAACCCUCGUUCCAUGUUGCCAGCAGCGCCUUCGGGUGGCUGGGGACUCAUGGGAGACUGCCGGGGUCAACUCGGAGGAAGGUGGGGAUGACGUCAAGUCAUCAUGCCCCUUAUGCCCAGGGCUUCACGCAUGCUACAAUGGCCGGUACAAAGGGUUGCGAUGCCGUGAGGUGGAGCGAAUCCCAAAAAGCCGGUCUCAGUUCGGAUUGGGGUCUGCAACUCGACCCCAUGAAGUCGGAGUCGCUAGUAAUCGCAGAUCAGCAACGCUGCGGUGAAUACGUUCCCGGGCCUUGCACACACCGCCCGU